UUCACGUCUUCUCACCUGCUUAUCACUUCUCUCUGGGUCCACUGCUCCAUCCCUUUUUCCUAUUCUCCACUCUCCUCUCCUAUUAGACUCUAUUUUCUUCUGCUCUUGAGCUUUCCCACCUACCUGGUUUCACCUAUCACCUUCCAGCGAGACAUUUCCUCGCCCGCCCCGAUUUUAUUCAGAUAUUUCUCCCAUCCCAUCUCAGUCCUGAAGGAGGGUUGAAAUGAAAACUCUUUUCGAUAGAUGCUGCCCGACCUGCUGAGUUCCGCCAGCAUUUUGUUUGUGUUGCUCUGAAUUUCCAGCAUCUGCAGACUUUGUGGUGUUUGUGAUUUACCUCUCCGUUGUUCCUCCCGCCUCCGGCCACUGGUGGCUCUGCAUGGACCCCUGGAGACUGCUGGAGCUGUGCGGGCCUCUGGCCACGGGUGGCGCUGCGUAGAAACCUCUGCUAAACGCAUGCGCACUGCUCUCUGUAGCUGUUGGCAGUUCUCCGAUUCGACCGGGGGUGAGUCAGGGUUGAUCCCGAAAUUGUAUAAAUGUGGGCCGGUUGCAUUGGGAAAGGGCCGGGCCCGAGCUCUGCCGGACGGCUGGAGCAGGGGUGCAGUGGUAAUUUUUUAGGUGCCAGAGCUGUACGGAGGGUGGUUGAUAAGUUCGUGGCCUAAGUUAGAAGGCCUAAAGUUAUACAACUCUCGGGACCUGCACGUGUAGUUCAACUCUUUGAGUGAUUCUGCAGAAAGUUUGAAGUUAAUAACUUUUGCGGUAUUUCUGUUUCAGCCACCUAAAUUGGAACCAAGUAAUCAAGUAUGAAAAAGAACGUCUGAUGAACUAUUGCUAAAGCCACGAAUAUUGCUGAAUAUUAGUCUCAAAAACGUUAGACCUGCAGUGAGAGAUUUAUUGGAAGAAAAACCACGACUGAAGACGAGGGAACAGCAACAAUGAAACAACCCGAGGACUGAGAGCACCGACUGGAGAGAACCUUUCUGACUCGGAGAUUCCAGUGAUUCAGUCAGGAGAAAGUUUGGUGAGUCUCAUUUACUCAAACACUGGUCCUUUAGACAUUACAUACCUGCACAAAGGAAGGUAGGAAAUAGUUGGGAGUGAGACAGAAUGUGCCCAGAAGAACCAGUUAUGCCUCUGUCAGAACCAGUUGAGAAGAAGCCCCCCUCCAAAUGUUCCCUUUAAAUGUUUUGCCCUUCACCCUUAACCCUUGUCCUCUGGUUUUUUUCUCCCCUAGCCUCAGUGGAUAAAGCCUGUUUGCAUUCACUAUAUCUACACCCAUCAUAAUUUUAUAUACCUCUAUGAAGUCUCCGCUCAUUUUUCUAAGCACCAAGGAAUGAAGCCCUAACCUAUACAACCUUUGUCUGUAACUCAGUUUCUCAAGUCCCGGCAACAUCCUUGUAAACCUUUUCUGCACUCUUUUAACCUUAUUAAUAUCCUUCCUGUAAUUCGGUGACCAGAGCUGCACACGAUACUCCAAAUUCGGCCUCACCAAUGCCUUAUGCAACCUCACCAUAACAUUCCAAUUCUUAUACUCAAUACUUUGAUUCAUAAAGGACAUUGUACCAAAAGCUCUCUUUACUACCCUAUCUACCCAUGAUGCCACUUUUAGGGAAUUUUGUAUCAGUAUUCCUAGAUCCCUCUGUUCUACUGCACUCCUCAGUGCCCCACCAUUUACCUUAUCUGUUCUACAUUGGUUUUUCCUUCCAAAGUGCAAUACCUCACACUUGUCUGUAUUAAACUCCAUUUGCCAUUUUUCAGCCCAUUUUUCUAGCUGGUCCAGAUCCCUUUGCAAGCUUUGAAAACCUUCCUCACUGUCCACUACACCUCCAAUCUUUGUAUCAUCAGCAAAUUUGCUGAUCCAAUUUACCAAAUUAUUAUCCAGAUCAUUGAUAUAGAUGACAAAUAACAAUGGACCCAGCACUGAUCCCUGUGGCACACCACUAGUCACAGGCCUCCACUCAGAGUAGCAAUCCUCCACUACCACUCUCUGGCUUCUUCCAUUGAGCCAGUGUCUAAUCCAAUUUACUACCUAACCUCCCAUGCGGGACCUUGUCAAAGGCCUUACUGAAGUCCAUGUAGACAACAUCCACUGCAUUCCCUUCAUCCACUUUCCUUGUAACCUCCUCAAAACACUCUAAUAGAUUUGUUAAACAUGACCUACCACACACAAAGCUGUGUUGAC